CAAUGGUCUCAGAUUGAACGCUGGCGGCAGGCCUAACACAUGCAAGUCGAAACGGCAGCACAGAAGAGCUUGCUCUUUGGGUGGCGAGUGGCGGACGGGUGAGUAACACGUAGGAAUCUACCCAGUAGUGGGGGAUAACCUGGGGAAACCCAGGCUAAUACCGCAUACGCCCUGAGGGGGAAAGCGGGGGAUCUUCGGACCUCGCGCUAUUGGAUGAGCCUGCGUCGGAUUUAGCUAGUUGGUGGGGUAAGGGCCCACAAGGCGACGAUCCGUAGCUGGUCUGAGAGGAUGACCAGUCACACCGGAACUGAGACACGGUCCGGACUCCUACGGGAGGCAGCAGUGGGGAAUAUUGGACAAUGGGCGCAAGCCUGAUCCAGCCAUGCCGCGUGAGUGAUGACGGCCUUAGGGGUUGUAAAGCUCUUUCGCCAGGGACGAUAAUGACGGUACCUGGAUAGAAGCCCGGCUAACUUCGUGCCAGCAGCCGCGGUAAUACGAAGGGGCUAGCGUUG
rnacentral:rRNA from 1 species